CGAUACUUGGUGUGAAUUGCAGAAUUCAGUGAAUCAUCGAAUCUUUGAACGCACCUUGCGCUCCUUGGUAUUCCGAGGAGCAUGCCUGUUUGAGUGUCAUGGUAUUCUCCCCCCACACAUCCUUGUGAUGUUCGUAGGGCUUGGACUAAUGGAGGCUUGCUGGCCGUCGCGGUCGGCUCCUCUUGAAUGCAUUAGCUUGGUUCCUUGCGGAUCGGCUCUCAGUGUGAUAAUUGUCUACGCUGUGACCGUGUUGCGUUUGGCGAGCUUCUAACCGUCCUGCUAGGGACAAACUUACUUGACAUCUGACCUCAAAUCAGGUAGGACUACCCGCUGAACUUAAGCAUAUCAAUAAGCGGAGGA
rnacentral:rRNA from 1 species